CCUUACCUGGCCUUGACAUCCAGAGAACUUUCCAGAGAUGGAUUGGUGCCUUCGGGAACUCUGAGACAGGUGCUGCAUGGCCGUCGUCAGCUCGUGUCGUGAGAUGUUGGGUUAAGUCCCGUAACGAGCGCAACCCCUAUCCCUAGUUGCUAGCAGUUCGGCUGAGAACUCUAGGGAGACUGCCGGUGACAAACCGGAGGAAGGUGGGGAUGACGUCAGGUCAUCAUGGCCCUUACGGCCAGGGCUACACACGUGCUACAAUGGUGCGUACAGAGGGCUGCAAACCCGCGAGGGGGAGCUAAUCUCACAAAACGCAUCGUAGUCCGGAUCGGAGUCUGCAACUCGACUCCGUGAAGUCGGAAUCGCUAGUAAUCGCGAAUCAGAAUGUCGCGGUGAAUACGUUCCC
rnacentral:rRNA from 1 species